UACAGAGGGUGCGAGCGUUGUCCGGAAUCAUUGGGCGUAAAGCGCGUGUAGGCGGUUCGGUAAGUCCGCUGUGAAAGUCGGGGGCUCAACCCUCGGAAGCCGGUGGAUACUGUCGAGCUAGAGUACGGAAGAGGCGAGUGGAAUUCCUGGUGUAGCGGUGAAAUGCGCAGAUAUCAGGAGGAACACCAAUUGCGAAGGCAGCUCGCUGGGACGUUACUGACGCUGAGACGCGAAAGCGUGGGGAGCAAACAGG
rnacentral:rRNA from 1 species